GGUGCUUGCACUGGUUGGAUUAGUGGCGAACGGGUGAGUAAUACGUGAGUAACCUGCCUUUGACUCUGGGAUAAGCCUUGGAAACGAGGUCUAAUACCGGAUAUGACACAGUUUCGCAUGAAAUCUGUGUGGAAAGGGUUUGUACUGGUUUUAGAUGGGCUCACGGCCUAUCAGCUUGUUGGUGAGGUAAUGGCUCACCAAGGCGACGACGGGUAGCCGGCCUGAGAGGGUGACCGGCCACACUGGGACUGAGACACGGCCCAGACUCCUACGGGAGGCAGCAGUGGGGAAUAUUGCACAAUGGGCGCAAGCCUGAUGCAGCGACGCCGCGUGAGGGAUGACGGCCUUCGGGUUGUAAACCUCUUUCAGCAGGGGAGAAGCGAAAGUGACGGUACCUGCAGAAGAAGCGCCGGCUAACUACGUGCCAGCAGCCGCGGUAAUACGUAGGGCGCGAGCGUUGUCCGGAAUUAUUGGGCGUAAAGAGCUUGUAGGCGGUUUGUCGCGUCUGCUGUGAAAGCCCGGGGCUUAACUCCGGGUUUGCAGUGGGUACGGGCUAACUAGAGUGCAGUAGGGGAGACUGGAAUUCCUGGUGUAGCGGUGGAAUGCGCAGAUAUCAGGAGGAACACCGAUGGCGAAGGCAGGUCUCUGGGCUGUAACUGACGCUGAGAAGCGAAAGCAUGGGGAGCGAACAGGAUUAGAUACCCUGGUAGUCCAUGCCGUAAACGUUGGGCACUAGGUGUGGGGGACAUUCCACGUUUUCCGCGCCGUAGCUAACGCAUUAAGUGCCCCGCCUGGGGAGUACGGCCGCAAGGCUAAAACUCAAAGAAAUUGACGGGGGCCCGCACAAGCGGCGGAGCAUGCGGAUUAAUUCGAUGCAACGCGAAGAACCUUACCAAGGCUUGACAUAUACUGGACUCCCCUAGAGAUAGGGUUUCCCUUCGGGGCUGGUAUACAGGUGGUGCAUGGUUGUCGUCAGCUCGUGUCGUGAGAUGUUGGGUUAAGUCCCGCAACGAGCGCAACCCUCGUUCUAUGUUGCCAGCACGUGAUGGUGGGGACUCAUAGGAGACUGCCGGGGUCAACUCGGAGGAAGGUGGGGAUGACGUCAAAUCCAUCAUGCCCCUUAUGUCUUGGGCUUCACGCUCAUGCUACAAUGGCCGGUACAAAGGGUUGCGAUACUGUGAGGUUGAGCUAAUCCCAAAAAGCCGGUCUCAGUUCGGAUUGGGGUCUGCAACUCGACCCCAUGAAGUCGGAGUCGCUAGUAAUCGCAGAUCAGCAACGCUGCGGUGAAUACGUUCCCGGGCCUUGUACACACCGCCCGUCAAGUCACGAAAGUUGGUAACACCCGAAGCCGAUGGCCUAACCUUUG
rnacentral:rRNA from 1 species